UACGUAGGGUGCGAGCGUUAAUCGGAAUUACUGGGCGUAAAGCGUGCGCAGGCGGUUUUGUAAGCCAGAUGUGAAAUCCCCGGGCUUAACCUGGGAAUGGCAUUUGGGACUGCAAGGCUUGAGUGCGGCAGAGGAGACUGGAAUUCCUGGUGUAGCAGUGAAAUGCGCAGAUAUCAGGAGGAACACCGAUGGCGAAGGCAGGUCUCUGGGCAUUAACUGACGCUGAGGAGCGAAAGCAUGGGGAGCGAACAGG
rnacentral:rRNA from 1 species